GAUGAACGCUGGCGGCGUGCCUAAUACAUGCAAGUCGAACGCUGGAGAUCUAGCUUGCUAGAUCGAAGGAGUGGCGAACGGGUGAGUAAUACAUAAGCAACCUACCCACGAAGACUGGGAUAAUCUCUGGAAACGGGGACUAAUACCGGAUAGGUAAUCGGAAGGCAUCUUCUGGUUAUUAAAGGUUAAAAACACUGGUGGAUGGGCUUAGGGCGCAUUGGUUAGUUGGUGAGGUAACGGCCCACCAAGGCGAUGAUGCGUAGCCGGCCUGAGAGGUUGAAAGGCCACAUUGGGACUGAGGCACGGACCAGACUCCUACGGGAGGCAGCAGUAGGGAAUUUUCGGCAAUGGGGGCAAACCUGACCGAGCCGCGCCGGGUAAGUGAAGACGGCCUUCGGGUUGUAAAGCUCUGUUGUAAGAGAAGAACGGUAGAUAGAGAAUAUCUAAGUGACGGUACCUUACCAGAAAGCCACGGCUAACUACGUG
rnacentral:rRNA from 1 species